GACGAACGCUGGCGGCGUGUUUAACACAUGCAAGUCGAACGAUGAAGCUGGAGCUUGCUCUAGCGGAUUAGUGGCGAACGGGUGAGUAACACGUGAGCAAUCUGCCCUUGACUCUGGGAUAACUGCGGGAAACUGUAGCUAAUACCGGAUACUUUCACCGGGGGGCAUCCUCUGGUGAUGAAAGAAUUUCGGUCAAGGAUGAGCUCGCGGCCUAUCAGCUUGUUGGUGAGGUAACGGCUCACCAAGGCGACGACGGGUAACCGGCCUGAGAGGGUGACCGGCCACACUGGGACUGAGACACGGCCCAGACUCCUACGGGAGGCAGCAGUGGGGAAUAUUGCACAAUGGGCGCAAGCCUGAUGCAGCAACGCCGCGUGAGGGAUGAAGGCCUUCGGGUUGUAAACCUCUUUUAGCAGGGAAGAGGCGAAAGUGACGGUACCUGCAGAAAAAGCACCGGCUAACUACGUGCCAGCCGCCGCGGUAA
rnacentral:rRNA from 1 species